UACGAAGGGGGCUAGCGUUGCUCGGAAUGACUGGGCGUAAAGGGCGCGUAGGCGGCUCAUACAGUCAGGCGUGAAAUUCCUGGGCUCAACCUGGGAACUGCGCUUGAUACGGCAGAGCUAGAGGAUGGAAGAGGCUCGCGGAAUUCCCAGUGUAGAGGUGAAAUUCGUAGAUAUUGGGAAGAACACCGGUGGCGAAGGCGGCGAGCUGGUCCAUUACUGACGCUGAGGCGCGACAGCGUGGGGAGCAAACAGG
rnacentral:rRNA from 1 species